AGAGUUUGAUCAUGGCUCAGAGCGAACGCUGGCGGCAGGCCUAACACAUGCAAGUCGAACGCGUGUAGCAAUACACGAGUGGCAGACGGGUGAGUAACACGUGGGAACGUGCCCUUCGGUUCGGAAUAACUCAGGGAAACUUGAGCUAAUACCGGAUACGCCCUUACGGGGAAAGAUUUAUCGCCGAUGGAUCGGCCCGCGUCUGAUUAGCUAGUUGGUGAGGUAACGGCUCACCAAGGCGACGAUCAGUAGCUGGUCUGAGAGGAUGAUCAGCCACACUGGGACUGAGACACGGCCCAGACUCCUACGGGAGGCAGCAGUGGGGAAUAUUGGACAAUGGGCGAAAGCCUGAUCCAGCCAUGCCGCGUGAGUGAUGAAGGCCCUAGGGUUGUAAAGCUCUUUCGGCGGGGACGAUAAUGACGGUACCCGCAGAAGAAGCCCCGGCUAACUUCGUGCCAGCAGCGGCGGUAAUAC
rnacentral:rRNA from 1 species